rnacentral:snRNA from 1 species
ACGGGCGAGAGACCGAUAGC